UAAUUAUCCCCCUACUGAAAUAACAUAUUC
rnacentral:piRNA from 1 species